AAAGCCUUAGUAAAAUAUUUACAUAGCCCUGUCAGCACUAAGUUAUGGGUACUUAAACCCAUAGGCUUUA
rnacentral:tRNA from 1 species